ensembl:lncRNA
UUCUAGGCCAUCCCACAGGGACUCGCUCGGCCUCCCGUCUCCUGGCUAACUGUUCACCUGCCUCUCGACCUCCCUUCUCCUCCUCCUGGCCUCAGGAUGCCCUUCCUCCGAGACGAAGGGACACUCUUGUUCCUGCUUCACAUACAAGGAAAAUUGAGCUGAAGUCACUUGCUCAGUGUCACCACCACAAAUCUGCUGAGGAGCUGUUAGAGGGACUCGGGUCUGACUGAUAGCAGGUGUCAGCCAGGAAUGUAGAAAACAAGGAGCAAGAAAAUAAAGAGCCCUCCUUGACAGGUUCUGCUCAGAUUAUGGAAGCAAUAUAAAUGCAUGUGCUUAAGUUCCCACGACAUGAGAGCUCGGAUUGCUGGAGCGCCUUGAUGGGUCGGAGAUCAAAAAGAAGAGGUCAUUUGGAGGAGUUUUGCUUUUAACAUGUUGAGUUUGAGGGGUUGAUAAGACUUUAGCUGGGUGUGUUUAAUAGACUAUUAACCACAGCGUUCUCGAGCUUAGGAAAAUAAUGAAGUGUGCGGAUACGAUUUGGAGCCAAUCGCGAAGCGGAAACCAUGACCCCAUCAAGUGAAAACAGGCACUAAAAGAAGGAAAGAAGGCAGAGUUUAGGAAAGCAGGAGAAAAAAGAGAUGCCGGUGAAGGAAACAGAGGACAGGUAACCAGGAAGCCUGGAGCCGCAGCUCAGAAGCCAAGGAAAGAGUUUAACUCAUCGGUGACCCAGAGAUCCUUUGAGAACCUGAUCCAUGAGAGCUAUGGAUUAUCCCUGCAGAAAGUUUACAGAGAACAUACAUGUCAAGCUACCCUGGGAAAACCCACCUGUGGACCCCCUAAGAAGCCCCAGGUGUGUCUGGGGAGGCGGGUGGUCUGUGGCUGAAAAGCAGUGACAGGCGUGGAACUGAAGCCCUCACCUCUGAUGGCCGGAACCUGGACCCAGGAGCCUUCCGUACUAUUCCUGUUGGAGACGCGCCCGAGCUUGGGGGGUGAGGUCCUGACUCUGGGCCCUGGUGUUCCACUGAAGCCCCUCCUCGUUGGGUCAAUUUUGCUUUCCUCCAAAUGAGGCACCUUGGGAUUUCUUGGUCAUGUGAUGAAGUCUGUAUCAUUCUUUGGUGAAAUACUGAAACAUGGCCUUUGCCCUCGAGGUGUUUAAAAUCUGAGUUCCCGUUAUGGCUCAGCAGAUGAAGAACCCGACAUGAUGUCUAUGAGGGUAUAGGUUCCAUCCCUGGGCUUGCUCAGUGGGUUAAGGAUCCUGCGUUGCUGUGGCUGAGACGUAGCCCAGCAGCUGCAGCUCCCAUUCGAUCCCUAGCCUGGAAACUUCCAUAUGCUGCAGGAGCAGCCCUAAAAAGCAAAAAAUAAAAUAAAAUAAAAUCUAAUAGGGCA